GCCUCUUUAGCUCAGUGGUAGAGCGUGUCACUCGUAAGUCACUUACAUAUCAUGACAAGGUCGUCGGAUCAAUCCCGACAGGAGGCA
rnacentral:tRNA from 1 species